rnacentral:rRNA from 1 species
GGGGAAUAUUGGGCAAUGGGCGCAAGCCUGACCCAGCAACGCCGCGUGAGGGAAGAAGGUUUUCGGAUUGUAAACCUCUGUCGCAGAAGACGAAGGAAGUGACGGUAUUCUGUGAGGAAGCCCCGGCUAACUACGUGCCAGCAGCCGCGGUAAUACAGAGGUCUCAAGCGUUGUUCGGAAUCACUGGGCGUAAAGCGUGCGUAGGCUGUUUCGUAAGUCGUGUGUGAAAGGCGCGGGCUCAACCCGCGGACGGCACAUGAUACUGCGAGACUAGAGUAAUGGAGGGGGAACCGGAAUUCUCGGUGUAGCAGUGAAAUGCGUAGAUAUCGAGAGGAACACUCGUGGCGAAGGCGGGUUCCUGGACAUUAACUGACGCUGAGGCACGAAGGCCAGGGGAGCGAAAGGGAUUAGAUACCCCUGUAGUCCUGGCAGUAAACGGUGCACGCUUGGUGUGCGGGGAAUCGACCCCCUGCGUGCCGGAGCUAACGCGUUAAGCGUGCCGCCUGGGGAGUACGGUCGCAAGAUUAAAACUCAAAGAAAUUGACGGGGACCCGCACAAGCGGUGGAGUAUGUGGCUUAAUUCGAUGCAACGCGAAGAACCUUACCUGGGCUUGACAUGUAAUGAACAACAUGUGAAAGCAUGCGACUCUUCGGAGGCGUUACACAGGUGCUGCAUGGCCGUCGUCAGCUCGUGUCGUGAGAUGUUUGGUUAAGUCCAACAACGAGCGCAACCCCUGUUGCCAGUUACCAGCACGUGAAGGUGGGGACUCUGGCGAGACUGCCCAGAUCAACUGGGAGGAAGGUGGGGACGACGUCAGGUCAGUAUGGCCCUUAUGCCCAGGGCUGCACACGUACUACAAUGCCCAGUACAGAGGGGGCCGAAGCCGCGAGGCGGAGGAAAUCCUGAAAACUGGGCCCAGUUCGGACUGUAGGCUGCAACCCGCCUACACGAAGCCGGAAUCGCUAGUAAUGGCGCAUCAGCUACGGCGCCGUGAAUACGUUCCCG